CCUACGGGUGGCAGCAGUGAGGAAUAUUGGUCAAUGGACGCAAGUCUGAACCAGCCAUGCCGCGUGCAGGAUGACGGCCCUAUGAGUUGUAAACUGCUUUUGUACGAGGGUAAACGCAGACACGCGUACCUGUUUGAAAGUAUCUUAUGAAUAAGGAUCGGCUAACUCCGUGCCAGCAGCCGCGGUAAUACGGAGGAUUCGAGCGUUAUCCGGAUUUAUUGGGUUUAAAGGGUGCGUAGGUGGGUGGAUAAGUUAGAUGUGAAAUUUUGAGGCUCAACUUUAAAAUUGCCAUUGAUACUGGUCGGCUAGAGAAUAGUUGCGGUAGGCGGAAUGCGUGGUGUAGCGGUGAAAUGCUUAGAGAUCACGAAGAACACCGAUUGCGAAGGCAGCUUACUAAGCUGCCACUGACAUUGAGGCUCGAAAGUGUGGGUAUCAAACAGGAUUAGAUACCCCAGUAGUC
rnacentral:rRNA from 1 species